rnacentral:misc_RNA from 1 species
AUUUGACGUUUAAGUAUACUGUUCAAUGCAUGGAUCAUAUAGAAGAUUAUUUUUAAAGCUCGCACUGUAUACCCAAUUAUUAGUUACUAAGACCCAAUUAUUAGUUACUAAGUUGGGUUACAACUUUGCUAUGGCCUUAAACUUUAUUUUUAUCUCAUAAUGAUAUUGUUGAAUCAUUUAAAAUUGUGUAUUAUUGAUUAGUGCGGUGUUUCACAAACUUCUUGCAAACAUUGCAGAAUGGCAUAGUAGAAUUAUGGGAUUUUUUUUCUGUUAUCAUCUAGAAUUAUGUUGUUAGGUUUUUACUUUUUACUUAUUUUGUUAAAAUUGUGUUUAAAACAUAUCUUAAGAUGCUGUUUUAUUGUGGGCUAUGAUCUUGAUCAAUAAUUGUGUUUUAACUUCAGCUUUAUGUGAUCCUGUUUUGCUGCAUGUGACAUGACUUAAUCACACCCAACAGACGCAAAGUAUAUAUGUAUCAAAAGAAAAAAGAAAAUAGAUACCGGGGAUAUAGAAAUUGUGAUGGAUGUGUCUAUGAUUAUUUAUGGGAGGCAGAUACAGAUACAAAUCAAUCAAAGAAUAGGUGAGCUGGGAUUAAUGUUUAUUUUUAGCUAACUAAUUUCUGUAAUUAGCUAAUUAAUUUUUUAGUUUGUUAUUUCAGCUAGUUAGGCAUUCGAAGAGAUCCAUCAAUAAACUUCACUUUAUUCUUAGAUUGCAGAGCCAUUGUCAUAGCUCUUGCCUAGGAAUGGUAAUUAGAUCCAUUGAGAACUGGAGAAACAAGAACUAAUGUAGGAUUCUCAUUUGGAUGAAGAAAAUACAGAUAUGAAGGAUUAGACAAAUGAUCAGG